GUAUGUACAGUAUGUUUUAAAUUUGUAUCAAUAUAUAAAAUUCUUAAGAUCAAAACAUGUAUUCAUUUUCUGUCUGCCAAAGAAACAUUCCAGGGUGCUGUGGCUGCCUCUGCCUGUUGGGGGGUCAUACAGCUACCUGGGGACAUGGUG